rnacentral:rRNA from 1 species
AAGGAUCAUUAAUGAAUUUUGAAAGGGGUUGUAGCUGGCCGUCUCUUUGGGGCGGCAUGUGCACGCCCUGAUCACUAUCCAUCUCACACACCUGUGCACACACUGUAGGUUGGCUUGUGAUCGGAGCUACGGUCUUCAUUGACUUUGCUCUGGUUGGAGGCCCUCCUAUGUAUCAUCACAAACUACUUCAGUUUAAAGAAUGUACUCUUGCGUCUAACGCAUUUAAAUACAACUUUCAGCAACGGAUCUCUUGGCUCUCGCAUCGAUGAAGAACGCAGCGAAAUGCGAUAAGUAAUGUGAAUUGCAGAAUUCAGUGAAUCAUCGAAUCUUUGAACGCACCUUGCGCUCCUUGGUAUUCCGAGGAGCAUGCCUGUUUGAGUGUCAUGGAAUUCUCAACUCUAUUUGCUUUUGUGAAUAGAGCUUGGAUUUGGAGGUUUAUUGCUGGUACUUGUGAUCGGCUCCUCUUGAAUGCAUUAGCUCGAACCUUUGCGGAUCAGCUAUCGGUGUGAUAAUUGUCUACGCCGUUGCAGUGAAGCAUAUCAAUGGGCUCGGCUUCCAAUCGUCCUUUACUGGACAAUGACUUUGACCUUUGACCUCAAAUCAGGUAGGAUUACCCGCUGAACUUAA